AUGAAGGACGAGAACUUCCAACCGAUCUUGGAUAGAUUCAGAAAGAGGUGUAGUGAUUGGUCGGGAAGAUUUAUGGCACACGCAGCAAAGGAAGUACAUGUCAAAUCCGUCGUCCAGGCUCUCCCCUGCUUUACUAUGGGGGUCUUCCUACUCUCAAAAGGCUUUUGCGAGAAAUAUGAGAAGAUGAUUCGGGAUUUCUAGUGGGGGGACGAAGAAGGGCAUCGGAAGGUACAUUGGAUGUCAUGGGAACGCAUGACAUGACCGAAAAGGGCAGGUGGUAUUGGCUUUAGGGAUAUACACAUGUUCAACAUUGCGCUGCUUGCAAAGCAAGGGUGAAGGCUACUAGAAAAUCCGGACGGUUUGUGUGCGAGAGUGCUCAAGUCAAAAUACUAUCCACACGGAAAUCUCCAUGAUACGGUUUUUGCCUCCGACGCGUCCCCCGGUAUGGAGAGGAAUUGA
rnacentral:rRNA from 1 species